rnacentral:rRNA from 1 species
AAACGUAGGGGGCGAGCGUUGUCCGGAAUGAUUGGGCGUAAAGGGCGCGUAGGCGGCCCGGUAAGUCUGGAGUGAAAGUCCUGUUUUUAAGAUGGGAAUUGCUUUGGAUACUGUCGGGCUUGAGUGCGGGAGAGGUAAGUGGAAUUCCUAGUGUAGCGGUGAAAUGCGUAGAGAUUGGGAGGAACACCAGUGGCGAAGGCGACUUACUGGACUGUAACUGACGCUGAGGCGCGAAAGUGUGGGGAGCAAACAGGAUUAGAUACCCUGGUAGUCCACACUGUAAACGAUGAAUGCUAGGUGUAGGGGGUAUCGACCCCUUCUGUGCCGCAGUCAACACAAUAAGCAUUCCGCCUGGGGAGUACGGCCGCAAGGUUGAAACUCAAAUGAAUUGACGGGG